AUUGAACGCUGGCGGCAGGCCUAACACAUGCAAGUCGAGCGAGCGGCGGACGGGUGAGUAAUGUCUGGGAAACUGACGGAUGGAGGGGGAUAACUACUGGAAACGGUAGCUAAUACCGCAUACCAUCAGAUGUGCCAAGAUGGGAUGAGCUAGUAGGUGGGGUAACGGCUCACCGAGGCGGCGAUCCCUAGCUGGUCUGAGAGGAUGACCAGCCACACUGGAACUGUGACACGGUCCAGACGCCUAGGGGAGGAAGCAGUGGGGAAGAUUGCACAAUGGGCGCAAGCCUGAUGCAGCUAUGCCGCGUGUGUGAAGAAGGCCUUCGGGUUGUAAAGCACUUUCAGCGGGGAGGCGUUACCCGCAGAAGAAGCACCGGCUAACUCCGUGCCAGCAGCCGCGGUAAUAC
rnacentral:rRNA from 1 species